AACUAUCUCUACUGAUGAUACAAAUUUAGAUAUAUCUGCACAGCCCAGAGAGAUUAUAACAGAGCUCACAAAUAUUCAUUCUACAAAUCCUAUAAACAACAAAAGUUCAUCAAUUAGAACUUAUGAUAGAAAAUUCAGAUCCUAUGCUUGCAAUGAUUGACAAAUAUCGUUCUAUUCACAAGAUUUUAUCAAUAACUGUUGAUAAAGAUAAAUGUUCCGAAAAACCUCCGAAAGAAAUAUUCACUUUGCCAUUGAAUUAUUUACCGAAGAAAAAAACAAUAAAAAUUGAAAAAAACAGGCAAGUCAAAGUUAUCAUUUGUGGACACCUCUGAUGAAUGGUACAAACAA